rnacentral:lncRNA from 1 species
CUUUUUGCCAUUCUUCUCUCCAUUCUUUUUGGCCUCACUGUGUGUAUACUUGCCUCCCCGGGCAGCAAAAGGCUGUUGAAGGUAGGCAUGUUCUUAGGAGACCAAUUUGUUCAGGUCUGUUGUAAAUCGUUAACCUCUCUUAACCUUUGUUUGCAUUAUAGAUUUGUACUCCCUCCAUUCCAAAAUACUUGUCGUGGUAUGAAUACUCAGUAUUUUGGAAUGUUGGGAGUGGUAGGUUUAUCUUGAAAUGUGAAAUGGGUUAGUGUGCUGUGAUCAUCCCCUCACUUGGAUUGAUACCAUGUGGAAAUUGAUUUAC